UACGAAGGGGCUAGCGUUGCUCGGAAUUACUGGGCGUAAAGCGCACGUAGGCGGCUUUCUAAGUCGGGGGUGAAAUCCUGGAGCUCAACUCCAGAACUGCCUUCGAUACUGGAGAGCUCGAGUCCGGGAGAGGUGAGUGGAACUGCGGAAGUGUAGAGGUGAAAUUCGGUAGAAUUAUUCGCAAGAACACCAGUGGCGAAAGGCAGGCCUCA
rnacentral:rRNA from 1 species